AUGGUGCCGAGGCUGGAGCGCGGCGGCUUCCAGCUCCCGAACUCCGAGCAGGAGAACUCCCUCUUCCUCCGCGCCCUCAUCUCCGUCGUGUCCGGGGACACAGCGGCCCCCGCCCCGCACCAGCUGGCGCCGUCGACGCCGCCCUUUGCUCCCGCUCCGGCGACUGCGGCUGCUGCGUGCGCCAGGUGCGGCGUGGACGGGUGCCUCGGCUGCGAGUUUGUCGCUGCGGCCGCGGCGACGACCGGGUCGAGCAGCGAGGGGGAGGAGUGCUCGGCCGCGAGCUUCGUGAAGAACGGCGGCGUGGGCAAGCGGCGGGCUGGAGGCGGCGGGAGCAAGUUCAGGGGCGUGCGGCAGCGGCCGUGGGGCAAGUGGGCGGCGGAGAUCCGCGACCCGCACCGCGCCGUGCGCAAGUGGCUCGGCACCUUCGACACCGCCGCGGAGGCCGCCCGCGCCUACGACGUCGCCGCGCUCGAGUUCCGCGGCCACCGCGCCAAGCUCAACUUCCCGGCGUCGUCGUCGUCGGCCUCCGCGUCCGCGUCUGCUACUGCUUCCUCCCGGGCGGCUACGCAGCCCCAUCCCCAGCGGCAGCAAAGGCCAGAGAGCCCUCGCGAGAAGUGCGGGUCAAAUGCGUCGUCGCCGGUGCACGUUCCGCGGCUGCCGGAGCAGGGGAGGCCGGUGGCGCGGGAGCAGGAGAUCUGGGACGGGCUGCACGAGAUCAUGAUGAUGGACGACGGCAACUUCUGGUCCAACCCCAAGCCAUGA
rnacentral:rRNA from 1 species